rnacentral:rRNA from 1 species
CGUCACGCAUCAGACCUCU